rnacentral:rRNA from 1 species
AAUGAACGCUGGCGGCGCGCCUAAUACAUGCAAGUCGAGCGAGAAGACGUAGCAAUACGUUUGUAAAGCGGCGAACGGGUGAGGAAUACAUGGGUAACCUACCCUAGAGGUGGGGAAUAACUAGACCGAAAGGUUAGCUAAUACCGCGUACGCUCCUUGGACUUCGGUUCGAGGGAGGAAAGCGAUGCCGAGGGUAUCGCGCUCUUGGAUGGGCUCAUGUCCUAUCAGCUUGUUGGUGAGGUAACGGCUCACCAAGGCUUCGACGGUAGCUGGUCUGAGAGGACGAUCAGCCACACUGGCACUGCGA